GAAGAGAGAGACCAGCUACAGACCAGUUACAACAACCUGACUGAAGAGAGAGACCAGCUACAGACCAGUUACAACAACCUGACUGAAGAGAGAGACCAGCUACAGACUGAGAUAAAUUUUCUUAGCGGGAGGUUUACCAAUCUCAGCUGGCAGAAGUUUGAAUCCAGUUGGUACUUCCUGUCUACUGAGUCUAAAACCUGGAAGGAGAGCAGAGAGGACUGUCUGGAGAGAGGAGCAGACCUGGUGAUCAUAAACAGUGAUAAGGAACAGGUGAAGCAGGAAGUGAUACAUUAUCCUUGAUGGGCCUCGAGGGAAUGAAAUACUUUUGGCGCCACCUGCUGACAAUUCAUAGUGAUGAUCUCUCUGCGAAGAGGUGAUUUUAUGAAGGAACAGUUUGUGUCUCUGUCGCCCUCUACAGCCAGGCUGUGUCAUGGUAACGCUGCACCCUGUACCACUGCGGUGACUCUUUUGUCAGAGGACAAAUCACUGUUACACUCAGCAAAAGGGCAACCGGUGAC
rnacentral:lncRNA from 1 species